UACGUAGGGGGCAAGCGUUGUCCGGAUUUAUUGGGCGUAAAGAGCUCGUAGGUGGUUUGGUAAGUCGGAUGUGAAAUCUCCAGGCUCAACCUGGGAAUUGCGAUGGAGACUGCAAGGCUAGAAUCUGGCAGAGGGGGGUAGAAUUCCACGUGUAGCAGUGAAAUGCGUAGAGAUGUGGAGGAACACCGAUGUCGAAGGCAGCCCCCUGGGUCAAGAUUGACGCUCAUGCACGAAAGCGUGGGGAGCAAACAGG
rnacentral:rRNA from 1 species